UACAGAGGGGGCAAGCGUUGUUCGGAAUUACUGGGCGUAAAGGGCGCGUAGGCGGCCUGUUAAGUCGAACGUGAAAUCCCCGGGCUCAACCCGGGAACUGCGUCCGAUACUGGCAGGCUUGAAUCCGGGAGAGGGAUGCGGAAUUCCAGGUGUAGCGGUGAAAUGCGUAGAUAUCAGGAGGAACACCGGUGGCGAAGGCGGGUCUCUGGGCCGGAACUGACGCUGAGGAGCGAAAGCGUGGGGAGCGAACAGG
rnacentral:rRNA from 1 species